rnacentral:rRNA from 1 species
CUGAAGAAUUAAAACAUUAACAUAACAUGAUCCAUUUUUGAUCAAUGAACCAAGUUACCCUGGGGAUAACAGCGCAAUCCAUUUCAAGAGCCCCUAUCGACAAAUGGGUUUACGACCUCGAUGUUGGAUCAGGGUGUCCUAGUGGUGCAGCAGCUACUAACGGUUCGUUUGUUCAACGAUCAAAACCCUACGUGAUCU